AUCUUGCUGUAGAUCUCUGCGUUUCUGUGGCUUUCUGAAGCUCUAGAAUGCCAGAAGAUAUGGAAUGCUUGCUCCAUAUGAAGAAGAGGACCAUGAUCUGAAUAUUUUGAGAAGAAUUUUGUUUUGUCCUGCUGCUUUUAAUGAAAAUCUGCUAUGGUUAUCUCUCAUCCAACAUAUUUGAAGCUUGACUAGCAAAACUGCUGUCUUAAUACUCUGCUAUUGCCAUGGUCUGUAGUAAAUAGUGUUGCUUAAAGGGUUGUGGAUUUGCCAGGUUCACAUAUAUAUAUAUAUAUAUAUAUAUUCUUCUUUACCUUCAUGUCUGUAUCAAGAUCCACUUGUUUUAUUUCGUAGCUGCAAAAAUUGUUGGUAUUUAGGUGUUGUUUUACUUGUUGAGAUUGCUCAAGAAUGGAACGUUUUUCUGAUUUUUUUCUUCAGAUGAAAUCAAAUCAUAAAUGUCUUCAAAUAUGUUGAGAAAAUUAAAUGUGAAAACGUUCUUAUUCUUCCAAAUUUUAUUUUGAAAGACAAUACCCUUUUCCAGCGCUGACCUCUGGUGUCUGCACAGAAGCUUGAAUUUCUACAGAUCAGAAUGAUUUAAUAGCUUUUUAAAAAAUAAUAAUGCAGCAAGGCAGAAGAGAAGUUGUACUGACUUUUCUUGCUGUCUUUGUAGACCUAGGAUUCUCAAUUUCCAUGGAUGUUUUGUUUUUCUUUAAAGUAGUUGUGUAAUUUAUUUAAAGCAUGAGCACCAGGUAUUUCUGUAUAUGUCCAAAAGAGACUAGCUACUGAUCUGAGUGAAUGAAAAUUCAUUCCCUUUGACUAUCAGAACCACCUUUACUGUUACGGUUGUAGAAGACAGUAAUUAAAAUAUAUUUAAUAUAAGCCACCCUCAUUUUGAAGCUGCCUCAGUUUGCAGCCCUGAGGGAAGCCAAGUAAUUAAGUUUGGAGGCAGUACUGAAGCAAAGACAAAUAAUGAUUUGGACAGGACUAGCAUAAAGGAAGGCUUCCAUUAGAUUCUAGAAUGCUGUUUUUGACCCUUAGUGGAUAUACUGUUCCAAGUGCUUUUAAUUUCAUUAAAUUUUAAUAUUGGAUAUUUUAAAUAGAAACAAUAUUAAACUGUGGUUAUUCUCCAGAAUGUCCAUUCUGUGCUACAAAAGUAAUGCCUUCCAACUCAAGAGCCUGAUUGGAAUUGGCAAUCAAAGUCUCUCCAAUAGCAACCUCCACCACCAUGCAUACACACCAAAACUUCUUGAAAGAGCAACAAUAAAGUCACUUUCGAUGGAAUUACAAACAGCAAUUGGCAUGAUCUGUGGAUGGAGUAGGUUGCUAGACAGAAGGAAUGUGAGCUGAGAAAGGUGAAGCUGACCUUGGAAAUUAAUGCUUCUGUGGACUAGGUAAAAUGAGCAGUUAUGUGAUUAAGUCCACAGGAAAUGGUAUUUAAGUACCCAUCUUUGAAGCUAAAAUUUGGGAUCUUGAUACUUGCAGGGACGGUAAGUACAUGAAGUGUCUGAAAAAUUCCUUUUUCCAAGAACUUGUGGCUAUGUUUGUCUCUUCACAAACCACUGAGAGUUUGAAUGAAGGAUUCCAGAAUGACUGUCUCUUUUCUGUUGAGUUCUGCAACUUAGGUCCAUUGUUUCCUAUAUGAUGCAAUAUCUGCUAGCUGUGUGUGUGUACAUAUAAUAUGUAUUUGUAGGCAUACAUUUAUUUCACUGACUGACAUAAAUUAAACUGAAGCUGCACUAGGAAUUUUAUGUUCUGUGAUAACACCAGCGGAGGUGUGUGAUUAUAUUUUUUUCCAAGACCAACAGUGUUGGUUACACUAAACAUCAGGAUGCCUGCAUUGUAGCAAUAUUUUCACCACUAUUUUGUUCAAGCUUCAAUUUGCAAUAUUCUGUUAGAAGAUGAGUUCUUUCAUACCACUGAAGUAAAACCAGUUAACGCGUUUGAUGUGAAGAGUCUAAGAGGAUCCUUAUCUUGUUGAAGAAAAACUUGUGCCAGGUCUUUUUUGCCAAAAAGAACAGAAAUAAACCCUGUGUUCCUGGGCAACAAGUCUUCUCAAUGAAAGAAUUUCUAUUGCUUAUGAAUUUAUGUGAGCUUUUGCUGAAAACAUUGUCUGCUGCAUUUUCCUGUACUCACUGUGCUGUCAGUAAGCUGCUGUGUUAUAAAGUGCUUUGGGACAUUCUG
ensembl:lncRNA